ACCCGAUGCAAACUGCGAAUACCGGAGAAUGUUAUCACGGGAGACACACGGCGGGUGCUAACGUCCGUCGUGAAGAGGGAAACAACCCAGACCGCCAGCUAAGGUCCCAAAGUCAUGGUUAAGUGGGAAACGAUGUGGGAAGGCCCAGACAGCCAGGAUGUUGGCUUAGAAGCAGCCAUCAUUUAAAGAAAGCGUAAUAGCUCACUGGUCGAGUCGGCCUGCGCGGAAGAUGUAACGGGGCUAAACCAUGCACCGAAGCUGCGGCAGCGACGCUUAUGCGUUGUUGGGUAGGGGAGCGUUCUGUAAGCCUGCGAAGGUGUGCUGUGAGGCAUGCUGGAGGUAUCAGAAGUGCGAAUGCUGACAUAAGUAACGAUAAAGCGGGUGAAAAGCCCGCUCGCCGGAAGACCAAGGGUUCCUGUCCAACGUUAAUCGGGGCAGGGUGAGUCGACCCCUAAGGCGAGGCCGAAAGGCGUAGUCGAUGGGAAACAGGUUAAUAUUCCUGUACUUGGUGUUACUGCGAAGGGGGGACGGAGAAGGCUAUGUUGGCCGGGCGACGGUUGUCCCGGUUUAAGCGUGUAGGCUGGUUUUCCAGGCAAAUCCGGAAAAUCAAGGCUGAGGCGUGAUGACGAGGCACUACGGUGCUGAAGCAACAAAUGCCCUGCUUCCAGGAAAAGCCUCUAAGCAUCAGGUAACAUCAAAUCGUACCCCAAACCGACACAGGUGGUCAGGUAGAGAAUACCAAGGCGCUUGAGAGAACUCGGGUGAAGGAACUAGGCAAAAUGGUGCCGUAACUUCGGGAGAAGGCACGCUGAUAUGUAGGUGAAGUCCCUUGCGGAUGGAGCUGAAAUCAGUCGAAGAUACCAGCUGGCUGCAACUGUUUAUUAAAAACACAGCACUGUGCAAACACGAAAGUGGACGUAUACGGUGUGACGCCUGCCCGGUGCCGGAAGGUUAAUUGAUGGGGUCAGCGCAAGCGAAGCUCUUGAUCGAAGCCCCGGUAAACGGCGGCCGUAACUAUAACGGUCCUAAGGUAGCGAAAUUCCUUGUCGGGUAAGUUCCGACCUGCACGAAUGGCGUAAUGAUGGCCAGGCUGUCUCCACCCGAGACUCAGUGAAAUUGAACUCGCUGUGAAGAUGCAGUGUACCCGCGGCAAGACGGAAAGACCCCGUGAACCUUUACUAUAGCUUGACACUGAACAUUGAGCCUUGAUGUGUAGGAUAGGUGGGAGGCUUUGAAGUGUGGACGCCAGUCUGCAUGGAGCCGGCCUUGAAAUACCACCCUUUAAUGUUUGAUGUUCUAACGUGGACCCGUGAUCCGGGUUGCGGACAGUGUCUGGUGGGUAGUUUGACUGGGGCGGUCUCCUCCUAAAGAGUAACGGAGGAGCACGAAGGUUGGCUAAUCCUGGUCGGACAUCAGGAGGUUAGUGCAAUGGCAUAAGCCAGCUUGACUGCGAGCGUGACGGCGCGAGCAGGUGCGAAAGCAGGUCAUAGUGAUCCGGUGGUUCUGAAUGGAAGGGCCAUCGCUCAACGGAUAAAAGGUACUCCGGGGAUAACAGGCUGAUACCGCCCAAGAGUUCAUAUCGACGGCGGUGUUUGGCACCUCGAUGUCGGCUCAUCACAUCCUGGGGCUGAAGUAGGUCCCAAGGGUAUGGCUGUUCGCCAUUUAAAGUGGUACGCGAGCUGGGUUUAGAACGUCGUGAGACAGUUCGGUCCCUAUCUGCCGUGGGCGCUGGAGAACUGAGGGGGGCUGCUCCUAGUACGAGAGGACCGGAGUGGACGCAUCACUGGUGUUCGGGUUGUCAUGCCAAUGGCACUGCCCGGUAGCUAAAUGCGGAAGAGAUAAGUGCUGAAAGCAUCUAAGCACGAAACUUGCCCCGAGAUGAGUUCUCCCUGACCCUUUAAGGGUCCUGAAGGAACGUUGAAGACGACGACGUUGAUAGGCCGGGUGUGUAAGCGCAGCGAUGCGUUGAGCUAACCGGUACUAAUGAACCGUGAGGCUUAACCUUACAACGCCGAAG
rnacentral:rRNA from 1 species